UACGUAGGGUCCAAGCGUUGUCCGGAUUUAUUGGGCGUAAAGAGCUCGUAGGCGGCUCGGUAAGUCGGAUGUGAAAACUCGGGGCUCAACCCCGAGACGCCAUCCGAUACUGCUGUGGCUUGAGUCUGGUAGGGGAGAACGGAAUUCCUGGUGUAGCGGUGAAAUGCGCAGAUAUCAGGAGGAACACCGGUGGCGAAGGCGGUUCUCUGGGCCAGUACUGACGCUGAGGAGCGAAAGCGUGGGUAGCAAACAGG
rnacentral:rRNA from 1 species